CGCGGUAAUACGUAGGUGGCAAGCGUUAUCCGGAAUUAUUGGGCGUAAAGCGCGCGUAGGCGGUUUUUUAAGUCUGAUGUGAAAGCCCACGGCUCAACCGUGGAGGGUCAUUGGAAACUGGAAAACUUGAGUGCAGAAGAGGAAAGUGGAAUUCCAUGUGUAGCGGUGAAAUGCGCAGAGAUAUGGAGGAACACCAGUGGCGAAGGCGACUUUCUGGUCUGUAACUGACGCUGAUGUGCGAAAGCGUGGGGAUCAAACAGGAUUAGAUACCCUGGUAG
rnacentral:rRNA from 1 species